GGACAACUUCUCUUAAGCUGUUGUAAAAUUACUUUCAAAAACUCAGCAAUUCUGAAAUCUGUCUUCCUUUGUCUUGGAGCAUGUUUAUUUCCAAUCUGAACAAAAGAUGUUGGUGUUUUCCACCUUUUUAUACUAAAUUCUUCCACUAUAGUGUUUUUUUGUGAUGCAGUAGUUGGAAAAAAGAGUCAAAGGAGACUAAAGUGUCUGCGGGUCUUAGAUUUCAUGGAAAUUCAUGCUGAAACAUUAAAAAUUAUAUCCUUUUUGUGCAUGCACUUAUAUCCAAUAUCUUUGUUCCUUAUGGUUAGAACUAAUUAACCCUUUAAGCUUCAGUGUACCGCCGGCGGUACACCUACUAAUUUGCAUAGGAAUUUCAAGAAUGUCCGACGGCUGCAAACGCGAUUAUACAAACACUAUACACCGAUGGAAAGCUUAGAUUCUCAUGAAUCCGCCGGUAUAAACCACUUUCAGAUGCGAUUACCACAGCGGGUGAGAAAAACACAUUUGUCCGACAAAAACAAAUAUUCAUCCAUCCGUUCUCUAUACACGGCUUCAACGCACACAGCGCGACUCACAUUUCCGGGUUUAUUAUUACACACACAAAAAAAGAUUCCACAAAAAACGGCCAUAAUCCAACCUUUUACAUCCAGAUGACACAAGCCAGUAAACUAUUUUGUCCAAAACAUGUCCUGAAGUCGUAUAAAAUCCCCGAAUCGGUCGUUUUCAAGGAAAUGCACCUCCCGAUGCACGUCCAAUAUUCCCCGUAUUUUUCGUAAUUUUUUUUAUUUAAAAAUAGAAUAUUAGCGAUUUUUUUGUACUGAAAACGGCUGGAAAUGACUGAAGCUUAAAGGGUUAAAAAAAUCUACUUUUCUUUCACUGUCACAUUUACAGUUUUACCUCAAACCUAAUGCUGAAACAUGUACGUGUUUAUUAAACCUCUGUGUAUGUCAAACCACUUACAGAAAGGACAUUAUUUCUAUUAGCUUUGAUGACAAAAUGAUUAUUUUUUUUACAUAUAUAUAUAUAUUCAGGUACAGAGCAUUCUGAGUCUUCUCUCCAUUUUCCAUUACAGUACUGUCUUUUGAAACUUGUGUGGGUGGACAAAAAAUAUACUAAAAAAUAGGCUAUAUACAAAACUAAUAGUUUACUAAACUAAUACUAAACUAAUAGUUUAGUAUGUGGUCCAUUUGGUCACAUUCAAAAUGUGACAAAAACGUCAUAGUUUACUGUCGUUCGUAAUAUGGAAAAAGAAGUCACAGUUUAGUAUGUCGUCCAAAAUGUCACAAAAACGUCAUAGUUUAGUAUGUGGUCCAAAACAUAGAAUAAAACGUUAUAGUUAAAAAAAAAAAAAAGUCAUAGUAUCGUAUGUCAACAAAAAUGUUGUGAAAAAUGUCAUAGUAUAGUAUGUCGCAGGGCUACAUAUACUGACAAACAAUCACACUCACAUUCAUACCUAUGGGCAAUUUAGAGUGAUCAAUUAACCUCAGCAUAUUUUUGGACUGUUGGAGGAAGCCGGAGUACCCGGAGAAAACCCACGCAUGCACAGGGAGAACAUGCAAACUCCAUGCAGAAAGAUCCCAGGCCCAGCCCGGGAUUUGAACCGGAGAUCUUCUUGCUGCAAGGCGAAAGAGCUAACCACUACUCCACUGUGCAGCCCGUCGACAAAAAUGUCGUGAAAAAAGUCAUAGUAUAGUAUGUCGACAAAAAUGUCGUCAAAAACAGUCAUAGUAUAGUAUGUUGACAACACUGUCGUCAAAAAAAGUCAUAGUAUAGUAUGUCGACAAAAAUGACGUAAAAAAAAGUCAUAGUAUAGUCUGUCGACAAAAAUGUCAUCAAAAAAAGUCAUAGUAGUAUGUCGACAAAAAUGUCGUGAAAAAGUCAGUGUUGUAUGUCGACAAAAAUGUUGUUAAAAAUAAAGUAUGUUGACAAAAAUGUCGUCAAAGAAGUCAUAGUAUAGUAUGUUUACAACGUCAUCAAAGUAUUGUCUGUCGACAAAAAGUUCGUGAAAAAGUCAUAGUAUAGUCUGUCGACAAAAAUCUCAUCAAAAAAGUCAUAGUAUAGUCUGUCGACAAAAAUGUCAUCAAAAAAAGUUUAUAGUAUGUCGACAAAAAUGUCGUGAAAAAGUCAGUGUAGUAUGUCGACAAAAAUGUCGUUAAAAAUAAAGUAUUUCGACAAAAAUGUCAUCCAAAAAGUCAUAGUAUAGUAUGUUUACAACGUCAUCAAAGUAUCGUCUGUCGACAAAGUUCGUGAAAAAGUCAUAGUAUAGUCUGUUGACAAAAAUGUCAUCAAAAAAAGUCAUAGUAUAGUCUGUCGACAAAAAUGUCGUCAAAAAAGUUUAUAGUAUAGUAUGUCGACAAAAAUGUAGUGAAAAAGUCAGUGUAGUAUGUCGACAAAAAUGUCGUUAAAAAUAAAGUAUUUUGACAAAAAUGUCGUCAAAAACAGUCAUAGUAUAGUAUGUUGACAACACUGUCGUCAAAAAAAGUCAUAGUAUAGUAUGUCGACGAAAAUGACGUCAAAAAAAGUCAUAGUAUAGUAUGUCGACAAAAAUGACGUCAAAAAAAGUCAUAGUAUAGUCUGUCGACAAAAAUGUCGUCAAAAAAAGUCAUAGUAUUAUGUCGACAAAAAUGUCGUGAAAAAGUCAGUGUAGUAUGUCGACAAAAAUGUCGUUAAAAAUAAAGUAUUUCGACAAAAAUGUCAUCCAAAAAGUCAUAGUAUAGUAUGUUUACAACGUCAUCAAAGUAUCGUCUGUCGACAAAGUUCGUGAAAAAGUCAUAGUAUAGUCUGUUGACAAAAAUGUCAUCAAAAAAAGUCAUAGUAUAGUCUGUCGACAAAAAUGUCGUCAAAAAAAGUUUAUAGUAUAGUAUGUCGACAAAAAUGUAGUGAAAAAGUCAGUGUAGUAUGUCGACAAAAAUGUCGUUAAAAAUAAAGUAUUUCGACAAAAAUGUCGUCAAAAACAGUUAUAGUAUAGUAUGUUGACAACACUGUCGUCAAAAAAGUCAUAGUAUAGUAUGUCGACGAAAAUGACGUCAAAAAAAGUCAUAGUAUAGUAUGUCGACAAAAAUGACGUCAAAAAAAGUCAUAGUAUAGUCUGUCGACAAAAAUGUCGUCAAAAAAAGUCAUAGUAGUAUGUCGACAAAAAUGUCGUGAAAAAGUCAGUGUAGUAUGUCAACAAAAAUGUCGUUAAAAAUAAAGUAUGUUGACAAAAAUGUCGUCAAAGAAGUCAUAGUAUAGUAUGUUUACAACGUCAUCAAAGUAUCGUCUGUCGACAAAAAGUUCGUGAAAAAGUCAUAGUAUAGUCUGUCGACAAAAAUGUCAUCAAUAAAAGUCAUAGUAUAGUCUGUCGACAAAAAUGUCGUCAAAAAAAGUUUACAGUAUAGUAUGUCGACAAAAAUGUUGUGAAAAAGUCAGUGUAGUAUGUCGACAAAAAUGUCGUUAAAAAUAAAGUAUUUCAACAAAAAUGUCGUCAAAAAAGUCAUAGUAUAGUAUGUUUACAACGUCAUCAAAGUAUCGUCUGUCGACAAAAAGUUCGUGAAGAAGUCAUAGUAAUAGUCUGUUGACAAAAAUGUCGUUAAAAAUAUAGUAUACCAACGAAAAUGUCGUCAAAAAAGUCAUAGUAUAGUAUGUCAACAAAAAUGUCAUCAAAUAAAGUCAUUAUAGUAUCUCGACAAAAUGUUGUCAAAAAGUCAUAGUGUAGUCUGUCGACAAAAAUGGCGUUAAAAAUAUAGUAUGUCGACAAAAUGUUGUCAAAAAAUCAGUGUAGUAUGUCGACAAAAUUUUCGUGAAAAAAGUCAUAGUAUAGUAUGUCGACAAAAAUGUCGUCAAUAAAGUCAUAGUAUAGUCUGUCGACAAAAAUGUUUUGUUCAAGUUUUGUUUGCCUUUUUUAUAUAAUUGUAUCAAUGGUUGUGUAAUGUGACUGUAUUCACAUCAGCUGUUGUGUUCAUACCAGGCCCCACCGCAUCCACCACCACCCCCCCACCCCACCCCCACUGCCCACUAUCACUACAGCAUUCCUUUGCUUGCCUACUCGCUUGCUGUCUUUUGAUAUAAUUACCAGAACCUGCCUUGUGAAAACAGCUGAUUCAGAGCUGCUCUACGGCACCUCCCUCCCUACCCUAAAUGUAUUCACCCGCUCCCCUUCAAAUGGGGACUGGGGCCAAAGUAAACAAGGGAGAAAAGGAAAUGAAUAAAUAAAAAAAUAGCUGCCUUAUGUAUGAACUAAACUUAUUAAUGUGUAUUUGCCUUGUGUGCACGAGCGGCGCUUACUACCAGGUAGUCUGUAUACGAAGGGCUUACUCUCGCUACCAACUAAUAACCACCUGUAGCCCUGUUGUAGUGGAGACUGAUUGUACAGAUUGCUCAGAUGCAGCUCUGCACACGCCCACUGCUCCCCCAGAUUAAAAUUUGGAUGGAGCUGAAUGUUAAGAAUUAGUGAAAAGGUCCAAAAAAAACAAAAAACACACUACAAAUCGAUGAUUGGCACCCUCGUUCCUUUUAGCCAUGAGGCCUUAGCACUAACUACAAAAACGGCAACAAACAUUUCUAGAAAGUCUUUUUGUUAUUCCCCUUUGCCUUAAUGUACAUCAUUCCCCCUACAACGUCCCCUCACUCCCCUCUGUUUGUUCAGAUUGCUUCAUAAGCCUGCAGUUAGGAGACCCCUGGUGUGGAGAUCCAGAGAAAGCACAGGAGGAGGCAGAGCCAGGCACCGUCUGCUGCUGCCGGAGACCUCGGCGGUGUCUGGCCUCAGCCACACACUGACCCUGGUAGUGGACACAAAACUGACCAGGCCUUUUUGUUU